rnacentral:ncRNA from 2 species
AACGUUCAAGCGGGAGAGACCGAGACGCACUCGGCGCCGAAGGAGCAACUGCCCCGGAAACUCUCAGGCAAAAGGACCGCUGGCGUGAA